rnacentral:rRNA from 1 species
GACGAACGCUGGCGGCGUGCUUAACACAUGCAAGUCGAACGGAAAGGCCCUGCUCUUGUGGGGUGCUCGAGUGGCGAACGGGUGAGUAACACGUGAGUAACCUGCCCUUGACUUUGGGAUAACUUCAGGAAACUGGGGCUAAUACCGGAUAGGAGCUCCUGCUGCAUGGUGGGGGUUGGAAAGAUUCGGCGGUUGGGGAUGGACUCGCGGGUUAUCAGCUUGUUGGUGGGGUAGUGGCUUACCAAGGCUUUGAAGGGUAGCCGGCCUGAGAGGGUGACCGGCGACAUUGGGACUGAGGUACGGCCCAGGCUCCUACGGGAGGCAGCAGUGGGGAAGCUUGCCGAAUGGGCGGAGGCCUAAUGCAGCAACGCCGCGUGCGGGAUAACGGCCUUCGUGUUGUAGACCGCAUGCGCCUGUGACGAAGCGUGAGUGACGGGAAUGGGUAAAGAAGCACCGGCUAACUACGUG